CAGUAGCCGCGGGAACACGAAGGGGGCUAGCGUUGCUCGGAAUCACUGGGCGUAAAGGGUGCGUAGGCGGGUCUUUAAGUCAGGGGUGAAAUCCUGGAGCUCAACUCCAGAACUGCCUUUGAUACUGAAGAUCUUGAGUUCGGGAGAGGUGAGUGGAACUGCGAGUGUAGAGGUGAAAUUCGUAGAUAUUCGCAAGAACACCAGUGGCGAAGGCGGCUCACUGGCCCGAUACUGACGCUGAGGCACGAAAGCGUGGGGAGCAAACAGGAUUAGAUACCCCUGUAGUCCCUGUCUCUUAUAC
rnacentral:rRNA from 1 species